GGGCCCCCAGCCCAGCCCUCUGCGAGUGGGCUUCCUCCCUGGAUGGGCCCUGAGCCAGGCCAGGGGUGUUGCAGGGCUGGGCACAGGCUCUGAGUGCAGGACUAGUCCGGAGACCCGUGGAGGCGUCCUCUGAGCUGAGUCCAGGCCUGGGUUGGGCUUGCAGGAGACUCUGAGCGCAGCAGCCCUCACCACGCACACAGUCAGGCCGGCUUGAAGCCCUGGAAUCCUGGCCAAGACGGGAAAGAGCGACAAAGCGCUUGCAACUGGAUCCACUAGGCACCACCAACUCAGCAGGAGAUAAGGAAAGCUCUCCGGCCUUGACCUGCAUGUCUCCAUCCUUCAGCUCCCAGCUCGAACACCGCCUCUUCCAGGUAACCUUCUACAACCCUCACGGGCUCCGAGCCCUGAGGGGUCCUGCUCCCCCAAAGCUCAAUCAUAGUGUGUGUGUCCAAGUUGAUUUGUCCCAGCACCUUCCUCCCACCUGGUCUGUCCCCUCCGUCCCCAUCAUACGGCAGUGGCCAGCCCCGCAAGGUCCCAAGGGGGUGCUCAAGCACAGCUGUGGAGACCCUCCCCCCCCCCACACACACACAGGGACCACCCAGAACCUCCCUGAGGUGCAGGGCACUGUGGCUAGCCCUGGUGGACCCCAUUAGAGGCUACACCCCGCCCCCCAGCAUCUGCCUGGCCAUAGCCCCCAGGCCAGCCCAGUGGCCAUGACUGUGGGCACAGCAGAACGGGGUGUGUCAAGAAUGGCCAGGAUGGGGUCAGGACCCUCGGCACCCUCACUACUCAGCUGGGAGCAAGUCAGAGCCAGAGGAGGUCCUCCUUACUCCUACCACCCUGGCGGUCCACAGCCUCUCUGUCUGGUCGGACAGGUUUCUGGGGCUGGCCUGGGUGGGGUCAUCCUCUGGUAGAGGCAGGCCAUGGGGCAGGGGCCAGGAAACUGGCACACCGGAGCCCCUGUACAGUCAGGCCAAUGACACAUCCACCCACACCCAGAGACGGGUCUUGCCCUGCGGCCAGUCACCCUGGGUCGGGGAAGGGCUGGCACCGGGACCCGUCCAUCCAGCAAGGCCAGCUCGGCUUCCUCCUCUGGCUGGCCCUGCCUGGCCCUGGAAAGCACAGAGUGCCCAGCGCGCCGGCCCCACCACUCGCUCCUUGCCCUGGCAUCCCAGCCUCCCCUCGGCAGUGAGGUGAGGACAGUGCUAAGCAGCUCAGCUCUCCACUCGUCCCCCCCUCCCCCCACCCCCAGGCAGGCACAUCACCCUGCUCAGACAGAGGGGAGACAUGUUCUCUGAGGGGCCUCACCGGCCAGCUCCUUUUCUGCUCACCUCAUCCAGGAGGCCCAGGCCCUGGAGGCUGGACACCGACACCAGAUGAGCAGCAUGGCUUGGGUGCCACACAACAGAUGUGCAGGAAUGGGACAUUUCACGGGGAACCAGACAAACACCCCGGCCGAGGUGGGUGGUGGCCCAGCCUGGGCUCCGAGGGGCACGGCCAGCCUGGGUGACUCAGCCUCCAUGCAUCUGAGGCACGUCGUCAUCCCUCCCAGGACCUGCAGCUCGCCAGGAAGGAGGGCAGGAGGUGAGCCUGAAGUCAGCCUCAGCUCCCAGGCCUGCGGUGGGCUGGGGAACCCCAGCCAUCACUCGCCUACCUCAGGGCCCCUGUUUUGAGGCAGAGGGCAGAGGUCCUCACUUCAACCAACAGCCUCUGCCUGGCAGACAGGGGCUAAGAUGUCUGAGAGCACAGACUGCUCUGAGGUUUAUAGGUUUCUAACUGAUAAAAAAUGUUUUAUUUACA